rnacentral:lncRNA from 1 species
UAUUUUUUAGAACAAAAGAUUUAACUUAAAACUGUAUAAUUUGGCCAACAUAUUUAAUUAAUAAAAUAGAUAAAAUAAAUAUUAAAAGUUAACCAACACAAAGGAAAUAACUUAUCUUUUGGGGAAUCUAAUUAAGUUAAUUAAAAAUUAUAAAGUUAGAGUUAAAAUAACAAAUAAUAAAAUAAUCACGAUUAAAUAAUUAAAGAGUAAGAGAGAAAUUGAAUUUGGGCCUCCUUUUGGGCCAAAUUUGUUGGAAUUUUUGGGUUUAACCCAAUUUCCGUUUUUGGUAUACGGCUGAUGUAUAUCAGUGUAUAUCGGCAUGCAUAUCAGCCUUUUUCAUGUAUUUCUUGCUUCCGAAUAACUGUAUUUCGCCUUAGCCCUGUAUUUUUCAUUUUUUCUUGACCUGUAUAUCGAUGUAUAUCUGUGGUAUACUGUUGUAUAUUUGCCUUUUUCCACCUGCGUUUUUGGCUUCCAAGAGCCCUAUCUCAGCUUCCAAACUUUAUAUAAAGGCUGACUUGAGAAAACGGAGGUGUUUGGUGUUGAUCCUACUCAAAAAAUGCACGUAAAGGGGUCCACAUUGGACUCAAAUACACAUCACAUGCAAACAAAAAGGAUAAAGAUUAAUAAGCUCACAAACGCUCUAUUAAAUUAAACACAAAGUAACUUAAAUAAUUAUGAAUUAAAUAUAUCAAGGGACAUAAAUCACUUAAAGGAAGGGGUUAAAGAGGAGAAAGAAAAAGAAAUAUUCCCGUAAUUAUCACUAGCAUGAGACUUAAUUGUGAACAAGAGAUAAAUCUCCUAUACUUAAAUAUACACAAGUGAACAUCAACAAGGAAGCAAUUGCAAGGGAAAACAAAAUAAUGAAACAAGAUUGGAGAAAAAGCAGACUAAAAUAUUAUCUAAAUCUUAAAUAAUUACUACAAAACAAACUUUAAUGGUAUAAUUCCACCAAAAUGCAGCAAAUUGGUUUAUGCUGAUUUGAAAACAAAUAACAACUUUCUUAAAUAGCUAGAAGUUAAACACAUAAACUCAAUAUAUUUUCUAGUCAAAUCUUUCAUUUCUAAACAACAAGGAAUACAAAUAACAAAACAAUAAUUUUCACUCUUUCAUUAAGAUUUUUGAUGCCUAAAUUGCACAAGUGAAAUGGCUUUAUAUCUCAAUAUCUAAACUACCACAACAACUAAAACAUUUAACAAUACUCUACUAUUAGUUCAAAAUAUACAAAAAGGACUAUCAACUAAGAACAGGACCAACAUUCUAUGCAAAAAAAAAAUAAAAUUUUGACACUCCAAAAUUUGUGGAAUCACAGUUAAAAGAGAAGCAACACUGAUCUCAAAACAAAAUUGAAAAUAACCUAGGUUAAUGGAAUAAGGUAUGCGUUCAAGAAAGAAACUCAGUUAAUCCAAAUAGGCGAUUGGAAUCAAUGACAACAUCUAAACUACACUCAAAUGUUGGACUCGCUUAAUCCCAUUCAUUCAAGUAGCAGGCAUAUAAGAUCAUGGGAAGGGCAUGGAUAGAGGAACAUCAUGUCCAAAUCAUAAGAGAACAAGCAUGAAUUUCGACCAAGUUCAAGCUGAGAAUCCGAGCUAAUAGCAUGUUUGAGGAAUGUUAAUAGCACAAAUGUGAAGCUGUGAGAUUAUUUAUUUGCAAUAAUAAGCAUAAAAUGCUAAUAAACAUCUAAACAAGUAAUAAAUUUUUACGAAUACCAUCGGAUGAACAAGAGGGAGACAAAUUAGGUAUGUAUAGGCAGACUCAAUACUUAAAUUUAUGGAGAUAAUAAAGAUGCUAGCAAUAAGACAAACAAAUCAACUAAAGAUUCGCAACUACGCCUCAAUCAAAUAGUAGGCGAGACUUCAAUAAUCUAAAGAGUCUAGUUGUGUAAUCAUCCAUUUUUCUCGGAUCUAAUAUGAAAAGAAAAACGAAAUGCUACUAGGAACACAUGAGCAGGAAGGCAGGGAAUGAUUGGAGCAAACAUAACAGAACAACAAAACAAAACAAAAAUAUAAAAAAAAAAAUACCUUUUAUGGGCGGCAAACCGGGACAAGACGAGUGAUUUGGAGCGACGACUUCUUACACCGGUUUAGACUUGAGCAAUAGACAAGGAAAUUUGAACCAACCUUUGAUUAAAGCUUUUCUUGGAACUCAGAAUUAGGAAAUCGUUUUGAAAUUUCUCAAAUGUAAAAUGACUAUUGCCCAAAGAAUUGAACUCCAACCUCUUCCCCCUACACCACUUGAGCAUGAAGAACUAUUUAUAGGGAAAAUUUAGGGGGAAAUCCGUUGAAUUUUUUCAAGAGAAAAUUUGAAUUUUUCUUUUCUCUUUUCCAAGGUCAACAAUGAAAGACGUUGUGCAGCCUGUGACACCGCGAAAAGAGGAAAAAA